rnacentral:rRNA from 1 species
UACAGAGGUCCCAAGCGUUGUUCGGAUUCACUGGGCGUAAAGGGUGCGUAGGUGGUUGGGUAAGUUUGAUGUGAAAGCUCUGGGCUCAACCCAGAAAUGGCAUUGAAUACUAUCCAACUAGAGGAGUGGAGGGGGGACUGGAAUACCUGGUGUAGCAGUGAAAUGCGUAGAUAUCAAGUGGAACACCAGUGGCGAAGGCGAGUCCCUGGACACUUCCUGACACUGAGGCACGAAAGCUAGGGGAGCAAACAGG